UACGAGGAGCGCGGGCGUUAUUCGUUAUGAUUGGGUGUAAAGGGUACGUAGGCGGUGUUUGCAGGGGACGCUAAAAUUGCAGAGGGUUCCUAUGCACGGCAGCCCCUUACAUCACACUUGAGUUGAAGAGUAGUCGGGACAAUUUCUCAAGUAUAGGGUCCAAUCUCGCCAUAUGAGAAGGAAUGACAGCUGGCGGAGGCGCCCCUCUAUCUUCAACUGACGCUCAGGUACGGAAGCUUGGGGAGCAAACGGG
rnacentral:rRNA from 1 species